AGCAAUACCCCGCUGAUACGGGAGUGGAUCCGAAACCUAAUGUAAGGUUAACUAAGACUCUCCACCCCCUACUCCUACUCAAUACGUCCCCGUCGUACAGAACGGUAACACGUCUCUCAAUUAUCCAAGCUUGUUUAUACGAGGAUACCCAACCCCUUGGACGGAUGGUUUGCAUGGCUAAAUUGAGGGGC
rnacentral:ribozyme from 1 species